rnacentral:lncRNA from 1 species
AUCCUUAGAUUUUUGAUAUUGGAGAUUAGGCAAAUACCUGGAAAUGGAAAUACAGUAGGAAGACGUAGACGUCAGCAAUAGAUCGAGUAAUUAGCAGGACCAGACAGCAAGUCACAAUAGCAGGGAAUUAGUUUGGACUUAGCUAUAGACCCAGAGACGAUGUUAGAUGGACCAGGACCAAUUUCAAACCAAAACACCACCCAAAACAGCUUGAAUACAACCAAAAUGACUCGAAAUUGAACCCACGAACAAUCAGAAAACCACAUCAAUCAAACUUGGAGCUAAAUAAUGUAAAUCCACACAACUUGAAACUGAACUUAAAAUUUUAAUAGAACAAUAUUUGAAUGCCUUUUUU